GACCUCCCAAGGGGCCUGCUGAACAUCAGGGAACAGGAGAGCAUAACGAUGGUCAAUGACACGCCUCCCAAACUGAUCUGCUGUUUGUGCUGGCUGCUUGCCACGAUGCCCUGAUUGAACAACAGAGGCUGAAGAGAAUCUCACCCAAGGUCAUGCUCCUUUGCCAAGGCAUCCACAACCAACAGUUCGUCACCAUGGUGUUCAUCUCAAGACCAACCUCCUGCAUGCCAACUUCUGCCUCAAAGGAAGAGGGAAGCCCAACUGUAAAAGUGUUGAAGAACACAGUGAAAAUGAGGAAUAUGAUUCACUUGAGCUCACUGAGUAUUGACUUCUUUAUUGUCAGGCUACAAGAAUGAUGGACAAUGAGUAAAGAUUCUGCUUUUCUGCACUGAAGUAUGUUGGCCGUUGGGACGUUGGGGUGUUGAGGGGGAAGUGCCCAUAACAUUUCAAAAUAAGA